rnacentral:rRNA from 1 species
AUUGAACGCUGGCGGCAGGCCUAACACAUGCAAGUCGAACGGUAACAGGAAGAAGCUUGCUUCUUUGCUGACGAGUGGCGGACGGGUGAGUAAUGUCUGGGAAACUGCCUGAUGGAGGGGGAUAACUACUGGAAACGGUAGCUAAUACCGCAUAACGUCGCAAGACCAAAGAGGGGGACCUUCGGGCCUCUUGCCAUCGGCUGUGCCCAGAUGGGAUUAGCUAGUAGGUGGGGUAACGGCUCACCUAGGCGACGAUCCCUAGCUGGUCUGAGAGGAUGACCAGCCACACUGGAACUGAGACACGGUCCAGACUCCUACGGGAGGCAGCAGUGGGGAAUAUUGCACAAAGGGCGCAAGCCUGAUGCAGCCAUGCCGCGUGUAUGAAGAAGGCCUUCGGGUUGUAAAGUACUUUCAGCGGGGAGGAAGGGAGUAAAGUUAAUACCUGUGGUCAUUGACGUUACCCGCAGAAGAAGCACCGGCUAACUCCGUG